rnacentral:ribozyme from 1 species
UGCCGAAUUCGAUCGCCAUAUUCCGUGUCCUGUUCUCGAGUGCAGGACAGAACCGAGCUUGGGUGACCUCUUCGCCCAUCUUGUCUCGGAACACCCUGAUCUACCGUCCGGUCUGCUCUGUC